GCCAUAGAAGGUCUGGAGAAAGCUGGUUUUCAUAUUUUUACAUCAUAUCAAGAAUCAAAAGAAGAACGAGGAAAAGAAAAAGUUGCGAAUAGUCCCUAAAUUUCAAUAUCUUCUACAAAUUAGCCGGAUUGACUUGAAGUGAAGUGGGUAGAUCGGAUCAACACAACAAAGCACACUAUCCAGAUCAAUUCCGGUAGCUUUUGUUUUAUGUUUGAAGAUUUAUAUGGCAUGUAUAGAGUUUAAAUGAAAUGAAGUAAAGAUGUUAUAAACUAGUUAACAACAUUUUGUACUAAAAUAGUUUUUGGUUAGUAGCAGUAGUCUGAGUUUGAAAA